ensembl:lncRNA
AAUUUACCAAUAUCGACACUCCCAGUUUUACUAUAAUUCACUAUAGUUUCCAAAAUAUCUUAAAUUGUGUUCCGAAGACGAACAAAGCUUUUACGGGUUUGGAACGACAUGGGGGUAAGUGAUUAAUGACAAAAUUCUCUAUUGUUCAAGGCUGCGAGCUGCCUCCGUAUCCACCAGGGGGCCUCUAAUAGUACAUGAAAUGACACCUUUUUUUGGGGGGGGGGGGGUAUAUGUCAAUGGACAAUGGUAAUAAUACAAAAACGCAAUAUUGUACAAUCAAAUCAUCUAUACGUAUCUUAUUUCCAUAGCGACACGUCAUGCAGGUACAUAGUGCUGCAUGAUCGACUGAUGUAUCACUUUUAUUUAGUUUUCCCUUUCUUAUUUAAAAUAUCCACAAACUUGUUAAUUAUAUCAUAACUUGUAUAAUACAGUGUAUUCUGAUUGUCAUAUGUGUAAAUGAAUUCCUUUUGUAGUUUAGUUGAUCUAUAAUGAGCACUGGACGCCGUCGUGUGGAUCUGUCAUCACGUAAAUUCACCCAUUUCUCCCAAAUACAUGAAAGUAAGUGGCCAGUGAACUGGGAGAAAAACUGAGUAAACUUUAUAGUUACCCACACAAUGUUCUACAGAUUCUGAGCUUGUGGAUCUGAUUUAUGCUGUCAUAAGAGGACAGACAUGUAGGUAAUGUCUUUAAUAAUACCAGACUCAAAGAAAAAGGUUCAAAUGCACAAUGCCCUUUCAUUUUGUUUAGUUUUUACCUUUUCUUUCUUUUCCUUGAUUUGCAGGGUUCAGAUUGAAUCGGUUUAUGCAGGUAUCAAAACUUGUUCUGUCAAUAAACUUGAUAUGUCAAUCUGUGAAGAACUGUUCAGGAUAAACUGUGGCUGGAUACUGGAGGAGGGAAUCAGGGUUUUGCAGAAGUCACACACAAGGCCAGACUGCACACUGACAUUUCACAGCUGCAGAUGCAAAGCAGGUGAGCAGUGUUCACAUGGGAAUAAAUGCAGUGAGCAGGUGGAGAUCUUCAUCUGA